GACGAACGCUGGCGGCGUGCUUAAUACAUGCAAGUCGAGCGAGUUUAUAGGUUUAGCUUGCUAAACUUAUAAAUUAGCGGCGGACGGGUGAGUAACGCGUGGGCAAUCUGCCCUCUAGCUCGGGAUAACAGUUCGAAAGAGCUGCUAAUACCGGAUAUGCUCACAUUUCGGCAUCGGAAUGUGAGAAAAGUAAUACACUAGAGGAUGAGCCCGCGUCCCUUAGCUAGUUGGUGAGGUAACGGCCCACCAAGGCGACGAUGGGUAGCCGACCUGAGAGGGUGACCGGCCACACUGGGACUGAGACACGGCCCAGACUCCUACGGGAGGCAGCAGUAGGGAAUUUUCCGCAAUGGGCGAAAGCCUGACGGAGCAACGCCGCGUGAGGGAUGAAGGUUUUCAGAUCGUAAACCUCUGUCUUCAGGGACGAUAAUGACGGUACCUGAGGAGGAAGCCACGGCUAACUACGUGCCAGCAGCCGCGGUAA
rnacentral:rRNA from 1 species